rnacentral:lncRNA from 1 species
UUUCCUAGAAAGAUAUUUCGUUUCAUGCUUAUUGUUAAACUUCAAAACUAAAAUUGUUGGACGGUCUAGUUUUUCCAGAAGAUCUUGUCUCAAUAAUUUCUCUCUUUUUUAUGUUUAACAAAUAUUCAUGCUAAACGAAAUGAUGAUUUUGAAAACAUCUGGAUAUUGUCAAAGUUUUUCUAGCUUACUAAACGAUGUGAAUUUUAGGUGUGCCCCCCUUACUCCUAGAUCCCCUUGAAUUG